rnacentral:rRNA from 1 species
CAGGACGAACGCUGGCGGCGUGCCUAAUACAUGCAAGUCGAACGGUCUUUCUAUGGAAGCUUGCUUCCACUGAGAAGAUAGUGGCGAACGGGUGAGUAACACGUGGGUAACCUGCCCAUAAGAGGGGGAUAACAUCCGGAAACGGGUGCUAAUACCGCAUAGUUUUCUUGAUCGCAUGAUUGAGAAAGGAAAGAUGGCCUUUGUGCUGUCGCUUAUGGAUGGACCCGCGGCGUAUUAGUUAGUUGGUGAGGUAACGGCUCACCAAGACGAUGAUACGUAGCCGACCUGAGAGGGUGAUCGGCCACAUUGGGACUGAGACACGGCCCAAACUCCUACGGGAGGCAGCAGUAGGGAAUCUUCCGCAAUGGACGAAAGUCUGACGGAGCAACGCCGCGUGAGUGAAAGAAGGUUUUCGGAUCGUAAAACUCUGUUGUCAGAGAAGAACAAGUUGGAGAGUAACUGCUCCAGCCUUGACGGUAUCUGACCAGAAAGCCACGGCUAACUACGUGCCAGCCGCCGC